AUGCAAGUCGAGGGGUAUUAGUUUUCGGACUAAGAGACCGGCGCACGGGUGCGUAACGCGUAUGCAAUCUACCUUUCACAAAGGGAUAGCCCAGAGAAAUUUGGAUUAAUACCUUAUAGUAUAACGACUUCGCAUGGAGAUGUUAUUAAAGAUUUAUCGGUGAAAGAUGAGCAUGCGUCCCAUUAGCUAGUUGGUAAGGUAACGGCUUACCAAGGCUACGAUGGGUAGGGGUCCUGAGAGGGAGAUCCCCCACACUGGUACUGAGACACGGACCAGACUCCUACGGGAGGCAGCAGUGAGGAAUAUUGGUCAAUGGGCGCAAGCCUGAACCAGCCAUGCCGCGUGCAGGAUGACGGUCCUAUGGAUUGUAAACUGCUUUUGUACAGGAAGAAACACUCCCUCGUGAGGGAGCUUGACGGUACUGUAAGAAUAAGGAUCGGCUAACUCCGUGCCAGCAGCCGCGGUAAUACGGAGGAUCCAAGCGUUAUCCGGAAUCAUUGGGUUUAAAGGGUCCGUAGGCGGCUUAAUAAGUCAGUGGUGAAAGCCCUACGCUUAACGUAGGAACGGCCAUUGAUACUGUUAGGCUUGAAUUAUUAGGAAGUAACUAGAAUAUGUAGUGUAGCGGUGAAAUGCUUAGAGAUUACAUGGAAUACCAAUUGCGAAGGCAGGUUACUACUAAUGGAUUGACGCUGAUGGACGAAAGCGUGGGUAGCGAACAGGAUUAGAUACCCUGGUAGUCCACGCCGUAAACGAUGGAUACUAGCUGUUGGGAGCAAUCUCAGUGGCUAAGCGAAAGUGAUAAGUAUCCCACCUGGGGAGUACGAACGCAAGUUUGAAACUCAAAGGAAUUGACGGGGGCCCGCACAAGCGGUGGAGCAUGUGGUUUAAUCCGAUGAUACGCGAGGAACCUUACCAAGGCUUAAAUGUAGUUUGACCGAUUU
rnacentral:rRNA from 1 species